AUUUGCCAUUUUUCAAUGUGAAUAGGUUUCCCAUCAUGCACUAUUAUGCCAUUAAUUCUGCGGACGGAAGAGGGGACGGAAGGCAAAUGGAACACUUGGCUCGGCUUUUAUCAAGGAGGAUGGUGACGUGAAUGUAGUUACAUCAUGGAGCUGUAUAGCUCCAUGGUUGCAUGGAUGAAGAACAUGUAUGAUGGCAUGCCACACCUUUGUAUAAAAUCACAGAGAGUGGCUAUGAGCAGCAUGUGAUUCUCUGGACCCCACUGUUGCAUUAUCUUCAAUUUUGAUGGUCGAGGUGUCCACGAUAUGUGUGGGUUGGUCUCUCUUCUUUCACAAAUGAUCAGAACUAACUUCUGACACAGAAGGGGUGAAGCACCGAAUGAAGGCAAGUUCAAACCUGUACGCCUUUAAAUAGAGCAAGUGUCUAAACUGUCGAAUUUGAAAAUGUCAGAUUUGUUUCAUCUUCUGACCCAUUUCGGAUCUGUAAGAGGAGUAUGCUUCUGUGGCUUCAGAAGAUCAGCCAAAAGCAAAACUUCAAACCGUGAAAAUAAGCAUGCAAAAUAAGCAUAAAAAAGACUCCGUGCACAAGUACAAGGGACUAUUAGAACUACU